rnacentral:rRNA from 1 species
UACGUAGGUGGCAAGCGUUGUCCGGAAUUAUUGGGCGUAAAGCGCGCGCAGGUGGUUUCUUAAGUCUGAUGUGAAAGCCCACGGCUCAACCGUGGAGGGUCAUUGGAAACUGGGGAACUUGAGUGCAGGAGAGAAGAGUGGAAUUCCACGUGUAGCGGUGAAAUGCGUAGAGAUGUGGAGGAACACCAGUGGCGAAGGCGACUACCUGGACAAUUGCUGACACUCAGGCACGAAAGCGUGGGGAGCAAGAGGG